rnacentral:siRNA from 1 species
AUACUAACCGGAAUCCCAUGUAAC